rnacentral:rRNA from 1 species
AGUGAACGCUGGCGGUAGGCCUAACACAUGCAAGUCGAACGGCAGCACAGUAAGAGUUUGCUCUUACGGGUGGCGAGUGGCGGACGGGUGAGGAAUACAUCGGAAACUACUUUUUCGUGGGGGAUAACGUAGGGAAACUUACGCUAAUACCGCAUACGACCUACGGGUGAAAGCAGGGGAUCUACGGACCUUGCGUGAUUGAAUGAGCUGAUGUCGGAUUAGCUAGUUGGCGGGGUAAAGGCCCACCAAGGCGACGAUCCGUAGCUGGUCUGAGAGGAUGAUCAGCCACACUGGAACUGAGACACGGUCCAGACUCCUACGGGAGGCAGCAGUGGGGAAUAUUGGACAAUGGGCGCAAGCCUGAUCCAGCCAUACCGCGUGGGUGAAGAAGGCCUUCGGGUUGUAAAGCCCUUUUGUUGGGAAAGAAAAGCAGCAGGUUAAUACCCCGCUGUUCUGACGGUACCCAAAGAAUAAGCACCGGCUAACUUCGUG